rnacentral:rRNA from 1 species
GGGGAAUAUUGCACAAUGGGGGAAACCCUGAUGCAGCGACGCCGCGUGGAGGAAGAAGGUCUUCGGAUUGUAAACUCCUGUUGUUGAGGAAGAUAAUGACGGUACUCAACAAGGAAGUGACGGCUAACUACGUGCCAGCAGCCGCGGUAAAACGUAGGUCACAAGCGUUGUCCGGAAUUACUGGGUGUAAAGGGAGCGCAGGCGGGAGAACAAGUUGGAAGUGAAAUCCAUGGGCUCAACCCAUGAACUGCUUUCAAAACUGUUUUUCUUGAGUAGUGCAGAGGUAGGCGGAAUUCCCGGUGUAGCGGUGGAAUGCGUAGAUAUCGGGAGGAACACCAGUGGCGAAGGCGGCCUACUGGGCACCAACUGACGCUGAGGCUCGAAAGUGUGGGUAGCAAACAGGAUUAGAUACCCUGGUAGUCCACACCGUAAACGAUGAUUACUAGGUGUUGGAGGAUUGACCCCUUCAGUGCCGCAGUUAACACAAUAAGUAAUCCACCUGGGGAGUACGACCGCAAGGUUGAAACUCAAAGGAAUUGACGGGGGCCCGCACAAGCAGUGGAGUAUGUGGUUUAAUUCGACGCAACGCGAAGAACCUUACCAAGUCUUGACAUCCCUUGACGAUACUGGAAACAGUAUUUCUCUUCGGAGCAAGGAGACAGGUGGUGCAUGGUUGUCGUCAGCUCGUGUCGUGAGAUGUUGGGUUAAGUCCCGCAACGAGCGCAACCCUUAUGGUCAGUUACUACGCAAGAGGACUCUGGCCAGACUGCCGUUGACAAAACGGAGGAAGGUGGGG